UUUGUUCGUUCCAUCCUAUGAAGGCUUUUCGACGAUGAUGAGAUCAUCGUUUUCAUAUUUUACUGUAUUAUAUUCCGUUCAGACUAAUGGUUAGGAACAACAGUCGUGGCGUUAGUUUUCAUAGAGUAGGGGCACUCAGAGUCAUCCACGAUUAUAGAAUUCAUUUGAUUUAAUAUGGAAUAUCUUGACGAAGACUCAUCUCCAGAUAUACGUCGACCACUCUCCAAACACGUUUCAUGAAGUGUACGUGGAGUAUGUGAUAUGUUAUCAUAGAGGAUGUGCAGAAGAAGUACAUUUCUUUAAAAAUGUGUUAAUAAUUCAGGUGGGGCACGCCAUGGUAUGC